GACGAACCGUGCGAACGUUGUUCGGAAUCACUGGGCUUAAAGGGCGCGUAGGCGGGCUUGCCGGUCCGGGGUGAAAGCCCCCAGCUCAACUGGGGAAGCGCCUUGGAUACCGCAAGCCUGGAGGGAGGUAGGGGCGUGCGGAACUUCCGGUGGAGCGGUGAAAUGCGUAGAUAUCGGAAGGAACACCGGUGGCGAAAGCGACGCGCUGGACCUCUUCUGACGCUGAGGCGCGAAAGCCAGGGGAGCAAACGGG
rnacentral:rRNA from 1 species